GGCUCGGUAGUUUAGUUGGCAAAACACUCGUCUAGCAUACAAGAGUCGUGGGUUUGAAUCCUGCCUGAGCAC
rnacentral:tRNA from 1 species